rnacentral:rRNA from 1 species
AACGUAGGAGACAAACGUUAUCCGGAGUUACUGGGCGUAAAGGGCGCGUAGGCGGCGGGGUAAGUCUGGUGUGAAAUCUCGGAGCUCAACUCCGAAAUUGCACUGGAUACUGCUCUGCUAGAGGGCUGGAGAGGAGAUCGGAAUUCACGGUGUAGCAGUGAAAUGCGUAGAUAUCGUGAGGAAGACCAGUGGCGAAGGCGGAUCUCUGGACAGCUCCUGACGCUGAGGCGCGAAGGCUAGGGGAGCAAACGGG